rnacentral:rRNA from 1 species
GACGAACGCUGGCGGCGUGCCUAAUACAUGCAAGUCGAACGCAGUGGGGACGGGUGAGUAACACGUGGGUAACCUCCCAUCAGAGGGGAUAACACUUGGAAACAGGUGCUAAACCGAUACUGAUGGAUGGACCCGCGUGGCAUGAGCUAGUUGGUGAGGUAACGGCUCACCAAGGCCACGAUGCAUAGCCGACCUGUGAGGGGGAUCAGCCACACUGGGACUGAGACGCGGCCCAGACUCCUACGGGAGGCAGCAGUAGGGACUCGUCGGCAAUUGACGAAAGUCUGACCGAGCCACGCCGCGUAAGGGAAGAAGGUUUUCGUAUCGUAAAACUCUGUUGUUAGAAAAGCGGUAUCUAACGAGAAAGCCACGGCUAACUACGUGCCAGCAGCCGCGGUAAUAC